AAAGUAGUCAUGGCUAAAGAUCUGUUGCCAGGUCUCAGUAUGGCAUGUGAAAGCUUGUCACAGCAAACUGCAGAGAUCUAAUCAAGAUCCUGAAGUAGGCAGAGGACCCUCCACGGGAACCUAGAGUGGGAGAGCUACUCUAGGGAAACAACUGCAAACUCUACUUCCCAUCUUACCUGAAGCUCAUCUGAGGAUACUGCUGAUCAUCCGACAAUACCCUUUCCUAAGCCCGCCUUAGUAAGUCCCAUGUCCAAUGGGUUACUCGGUCCUGCUGACUUUACAGUAGAAAUCUCAUUCAUAUCUGGGCCAUUCUUCCCAACUUACACUAUCCCUGUCUUGGUUCAGGCCUUCUACCAUUUUGGACUGCAACCACCUUCCGAUUUGGCGGCUGGCCAGCAGCCCCUCACUUCCCCCCACUUCCUCCUCAACACUGCUGUCAGAUCUACCUUGCUAAAAGCGUAUCCUAUACAAUAUCACGCUGCCUCGACCUAAAAUCUCUUCAUUCCUCCUUUGAUUAUCAAAUAAAUUUCUUGGCAUGAUGUAAACAGCUCUUCACAGUCUCAUUUCUUUGGCCUCAUCUGCCAAUCUUCUUUCCUUGUCCCCAUCACAGUUCCUCUGACAGCGUCACUCUCCCACGUGCCCCCUUCCUUUUCUUUGGGCCUUUGAAUAAGCCUCCUCCUUUUCCUACAGUGCCCCUAAUUAAGAACUCUUAAUUUACCCACCUUUUAAACCCUAUUCAAAUAUUACUCCCUCUGUGAAGUCCUCCCAAAUCCCUAAUAUCAGAGCUUUGGUAGAUUUCAGUGACUAUGCUUUUGUGUUCCUAUAGUUAGAGGUGCGCAUGUGUAUAUUUGCUAUGACACUGAACGCUCCCUGGGCAGGUGCCCUGUAAUAUCCCAGCACUUAGCGGGGUGCCCAGAACACAGCAGACACUGUAUAAAUGUUAAU